rnacentral:rRNA from 1 species
UAACUUUAAUAAUUUGGCUGUAAUUAUUUCAUAAAGGGUUAUGUAAUUAAAUCGAAAUUACACGAACUAUCUCACUUGUAUAUAUUCUGUAUACCUCCGUUUAGAUUGUGUUAAUAAUAAAUUUAACCUUCAAUAAAUAAAUAUUCAAAUAUCAGGUCAAGGUGCAAUUUAUAUAAGUAAUUAUGUAACACAUUAAAAAAUAUUUGUGACAUUAAAUAUGAAAAAUUUAAUUAAAAUGAAUUUAUAAGUAAGAUAAAAUAAAAUAAUUUUCUGAAAAUAAAUAAUUAUGUACACAU